rnacentral:rRNA from 1 species
UCCAGACUCCUACGGGAGGCAGCAGUGGGGGAUAUUGCACAAUGGGGGGAACCCUGAUGCAGCGACGCCGCGUGGGUGAAGGAGUAUUUCGGUAUGUAAAGCCCUCUCGGCAGGGAAGAAGCAAGACGGUACCUGACUAAGAAGCCCCGGCUAACUACGUGCCAGCAGCCGCGGUAAUACGGAGGAUGCGAGCGUUAUCCGGAUUUAUUGGGUUUAAAGGGUGCGUAGGCGGUCCGUUAAGUCAGCGGUAAAAUUGCGGGGCCCACCCCCGUCGAGCCGUUGAAACUGGCAGACUUGAGUUGGCGAGAAGUACGCGGAAUGCGCGGUGUAGCGGUGAAAUGCAUAGAUAUCGCGCAGAACUCCGAUUGCGAAGGCAGCGUACCGGCGCCAGACUGACGCUGAGGCACGAAAGCGUGGGGAUCGAACAGGAUUAGAUACCCCAGUA